rnacentral:rRNA from 1 species
AGUGAACGCUGGCGGUAUGCCUAACACAUGCAAGUCGAACGGCAGCACAGUAAGAGCUUGCUCUUACGGGUGGCGAGUGGCGGACGGGUGAGGAAUACAUCGGAAUCUACUUUUUCGUGGGGGAUAACGUAGGGAAACUUACGCUAAUACCGCAUACGACCUACGGGGGAAAGCAAGGGAUCUUCGGACCUUGCGCGAUUGAAUGAGCCGAUGUCGGAUUAGCUAGUUGGCGGGGUAAAGGCCCACCAAGGCGACGAUCCGUAGCUGGUCUGAGAGGAUGAUCAGCCACACUGGAACUGAGACACGGUCCAGACUCCUACGGGAGGCAGCAGUGGGGAAUAUUGGACAAUGGGCGCAAGCCUGAUCCAGCCAUACCGCGUGGGUGAAGAAGGCCUUCGGGUUGUAAAGCCCUUUUGUUGGGAAAGAAAAGCAGCAGGUUAAUACCCCGCUGUUCUGACGGUACCCAAAGAAUAAGCACCGGCUAACUUCGUG